AUUGAACGCUGGCGGCAUGCCUUACACAUGCAAGUCGAACGGUAACAGGUUAAGCUGGCGAGUGGCGAACGGGUGAGUAAUGUAUCUGAACGUGCCCAGUCGUGGGGGAUAACUGCUCGAAAGAGCAGCUAAUACCGCAUACGACCUGAGGGUGAAAGCGGGGGAUCGCAAGACCUCGCGCGAUUGGAGCGGCCGAUAUCAGAUUAGGUAGUUGGUGAGGUAAAGGCUCACCAAGCCGACGAUCUGUAGCUGGUCUGAGAGGACGACCAGCCACACUGGGACUGAGACACGGCCCAGACUCCUACGGGAGGCAGCAGUGGGGAAUUUUGGACAAUGGGCGCAAGCCUGAUCCAGCCAUGCCGAGUGCGGGAAGAAGGCCUUCGGGUUGUAAACCGCUUUUGUCAGGGAAGAAAAGGUUCUGGCUAAUACCUGGGAAUCAUGACGGUACCUGAAGAAUAAGCACCGGCUAACUACGUG
rnacentral:rRNA from 1 species